CACGUAGGGCGCAAGCGUUGUCCGGAAUUAUUGGGCGUAAAGAGCUCGUAGGCGGUCUGUUGCGUCCGCUGUGAAAACCCAGGGCUUAACCCUGGGCUGGCAGUGGAUACGGACAGACUAGAGGUAGGUAGGGGAGAAUGGAAUUCCCGGUGUAGCGGUGAAAUGCGCAGAUAUCGGGAGGAACACCGGUGGCGAAGGCGGUUCUCUGGGCCUUACCUGA
rnacentral:rRNA from 1 species